rnacentral:sRNA from 1 species
GCUUCAGCUAGGGCGGGGGAGCCCAGCAGAAGGACCGAGCAGCCUGGCAACCCACUUUGCCAUCCUCUCCCUGGAAAUCUCGGGGUCGGCGGGCCGGCCGCUUCGCGUGGGCGAAAUCAGAGACACGUGGUUUCCAAGGCCCCUUCGGCUCUCCCUGUCCAGCCGCCUGCAGCUGACCCUGUACCAGUACAAGACGUGUCCCUUCUGCAGCAAGGUCCGAGCCUUCCUCGACUUCCACGCCCUGCCCUACCAGGUGGUGGAGGUGAACCCUGUGCGCAGGGCUGAGAUCAAGUUCUCCUCCUACAGAAAGGUGCCCAUCCUGGUGGCCCAGGAAGGAGAAAGCUCGCAACAACUAAAUGACUCCUCUGUCAUCAUCAGCGCCCUCAAGACCUACCUGGUGUCGGGGCAGCCCCUGGAAGAGAUCAUCACCUACUACCCAGCCAUGAAGGCUGUGAACGAGCAGGGCAAGGAGGUGACCGAGUUCGGCAAUAAGUACUGGCUCAUGCUCAACGAGAAGGAGGCCCAGCAAGUGUAUGGCGGGAAGGAGGCCAGGACGGAGGAGAUGAAGUGGCGGCAGUGGGCGGACGACUGGCUGGUGCACCUGAUCUCCCCCAAUGUGUACCGCACGCCCACCGAGGCUCUGGCGUCCUUUGACUACAUUGUCCGCGAGGGCAAGUUCGGAGCUGUGGAGGGUGCCGU